CCUCAGUCGUAGAUUACCUAUAAUAGGUAAUUGUCAAAUGCUCUUAGAUUACCUAUAAUGGGUAAGCUAGGUGCACGUUAGUCGCUAGCUAGAACCCAGGACCCUGCCAGGACCAAUAAUAAUUACGUGUAUUCGAUAUAGAAUUACGCGGCGUUUUUUGGGUUUACGCGGGUAACAUGUUGUUCACGUUGGUUCUCCUUUCCUGUCGAUUACUUGAUCUUUAAGGAUCUUUCUUUACUUUUUUGGCCUUCGAAAGUGCUUGGAGUUACUCUGAACAAAGCUGAUAUGGCUGGGCGCCCGAAACGAUGUGGCAAAUGCAACAACGACAAUGGUCCAGCAGCAAAGAGAUGCCGUAUCUGCAAGGAGAGCAUAGUCGUUGACAUCGAGCAAAACGAAGACAACGAAGAAGAUGCCCGGAUAUUAAAUAUGGGUAAAACAAACCCAACAAAGCAAUUCAAUUUGCUAAAGAAACGGGCAAAAAUUCUAAAAUGUCGUCAUGGUUGGAUAUUGUUG